rnacentral:snRNA from 1 species
AUUGCCUCUUGGUCUUUUGGCUAAGAUCAAGUGUAGUACCUGUUCUUCUCAGCUAAGUAUCUGACAUGUCCUCUAUCCAAGAAUAAUAUAUCAAGUGGAUUUUUUGAAAUAGGAGAUGGAAUAGGAGGUUGCUCUGUCCAUUCCACAUAUCAGCCUGGAAUUGCAAUACCUCUAGGAAUGGUGCACACCCC